rnacentral:rRNA from 1 species
CAGUCGCCGCGGUAAUACGGAGGGUGCAAGCGUUAAUCGGAAUUACUGGGCGUAAAGCGCACGCAGGCGGUCUGACAAGUCAGAUGUGAAAUCCCCGGGCUUAACCUGGGAACUGCAUUUGAAACUGUCAGGCUGGAGUCUUGUAGAGGGGGGUGGAAUUCCAGGUGUAGCGGUGAAAUGCGUAGAGAUCUGGAGGAAUACCGGUGGCGAAGGCGGCCCCCUGGACAAAGACUGACGCUCAGGUGCGAAAGCGUGGGGAGCAAACAGGAUUAGAUACCCGCGUAGUCCCUGUCCUUAUACA